rnacentral:rRNA from 1 species
UGGGGAAUAUUGGACAAUGGGCGAAAGCCUGAUCCAGCAAUGCCGCGUGAGUGAUGAAGGCCUUAGGGUUGUAAAGCUCUUUUACCCGGGAUGAUAAUGACAGUACCGGGAGAAUAAGCUCCGGCUAACUCCGUGCCAGCAGCCGCGGUAAUACGGAGGGAGCUAGCGUUAUUCGGAAUUACUGGGCGUAAAGCGCACGUAGGCGGCUUUGUAAGUUAGAGGUGAAAGCCUGGAGCUCAACUCCAGAAUUGCCUUUAAGACUGCAUCGCUUGAAUCCAGGAGAGGUGAGUGGAAUUCCGAGUGUAGAGGUGAAAUUCGUAGAUAUUCGGAAGAACACCAGUGGCGAAGGCGGCUCACUGGACUGGUAUUGACGCUGAGGUGCGAGAGCGUGGGGAGCAAACAGGAUUAGAUACCCUGGUAGUCCACGCCGUAAACGAUGAUAACUAGCUGUCGGGGCUCUUAGAGCUUCGGUGGCGCAGCUAACGCAUUAAGUUAUCCGCCUGGGGAGUACGGCCGCAAGGUUA